UGGGGAAUAUUGCACAAUGGGGGAAACCCUGAUGCAGCGACGCCGCGUGGGUGAAGGAGUAUUUCGGUAUGUAAAGCCCUAUCAGCAGGGAAGAAAAAUGACGGUACCUGACUAAGAAGCACCGGCUAAAUACGUGCCAGCAGCCGCGGUAAUACGUAUGGUGCAAGCGUUAUCCGGAUUUACUGGGUGUAAAGGGAGCGCAGGCGGCACGCUAAGCCUGAUGUGAAAACCCGCGGCCCAACCGCGGGACUGCAUUGGGAACUGGCGCGCUGGAGUGCCGGAGGGGUAGGCGGAAUUCCUGGUGUAGCGGUGAAAUGCGUAGAUAUCAGGAGGAACACCAGUGGCGAAGGCGGCCUACUGGACGGUGACUGACGCUGAGGCUCGAAAGCGUGGGGAGCAAACAGG
rnacentral:rRNA from 1 species